rnacentral:tRNA from 1 species
GAGAGUGUAGCUCAGUGGUAGAGUGCAGUGUUUAGCAUGCACAAGGUCCUGGGUUCAAUCCCCAGUACCUCCA